rnacentral:rRNA from 1 species
CGGCGUGGAUUAGGCAUGCAAGUCGAACGGUAGGGAGCUUUCGGGCUUCUGAGAGUGGCGAACGGGUGAGUAACGCGUAGGUGAUUUGCCUUCAAGUGGGGGACAACCCGGGGAAACCCGGGCUAAUACCGUAUGUGUCCGCAAGGAUAAAGCCGGCCUCUGAAUAUGCUGGUGCUUGGAGAUGAGCCUGCGUCUGAUUAGCUAGUUGGUGUGGUAAUGGCAUACCAAGGCGAUGAUAAGUAGGCGGCUUUAACGAGUGGUCGCCCACACUGGGAUUGAGAUACGGCCCAGACUCCUACGGGAGGCAGCAGUCGAGGAUAGUCUACAAUGGUCGAAAGAUUGAUAGUGCGACGCCGCGUGAACGAAGAAGCAUUUCGGUGUGUAAAGUUCUUUUCUAUGCGAGCAGAGUUUGGGACAUUAAUAUUGUCCUGAUAGGAUAUUAGUAUAGGAAUAAGCCACGGCUAACUCCGUGCCAGCAGCCGCGGUAAUACGGGGGUGGCGAGCGUUGUCCGGAAUUACUAGGCGUAA